rnacentral:rRNA from 1 species
CCCUUAGAUGUUCUGGGCCGCACGCGCGCUACAAUGAUGAAUUCAACGAGUUUAUAACCUUGGUUGAAAAGCCUGGGUAAUCUUUUGAACUUUCGUCGUGAUGGGGCUAGACCCUUGCAAUUAUUGGUCUCCAACGAGGAAUUCCUAGUAAACGCAAGUCAUCAGCUUGCAUUGAUUACGUCCCUGCCCUUUGUACACACCGCCCGUCGCACCUACCGAUUGAAUGGUUUAGUGAGAUCCUUGGAUCGGCCCUGUCGCGGCUGGCAACGGCCGCGUCGGCGCGUCGAGAAGACGAUCAAACUUGAUCAUUUAGAGGAAGUAAAAGUCGUAACA